AUGGUGAAACAAGCAGGUUUGGGGUUCUCAAACUUUGACAAAAAGCAAAGCCAAAAGAGGAAAAACCCGCAAAUGCAUAAAAAAAAGGAGAGGAGUAUAUCUCAUCUCAUCAUUGUGGAAAAACCUGCAAAUGCAGCAAAACCAAAUGUUCAGGAAAGAUUAAUGCUCCAGUUGCGAGUUAAAAUCACCUGCUAUUGCAAGUUCACUGUAACUAAUUGCAAGGAGUACUCCAAUCGUUCACUGGAACUAAUUGCAAGUUCUGGAGUGUAUGUUCUGCAGUUACUGAAAAUUCAGUUACUCUAG
rnacentral:rRNA from 1 species